rnacentral:rRNA from 1 species
UACAGAGGGUGCGAGCGUUAAUCGGAAUUACUGGGCGUAAAGCGUGCGUAGACGGUUACGUAAGUCAGAUGUGAAAGCCCCGGGCUCAACCUGGGAAUUGCAUUUGAGACUGCGUAUCUAGGGUGCGGAAGAGGGAAGCGGAAUUUCCGGUGUAGCGGUGAAAUGCGUAGAUAUCGGAAGGAACACCAGUGGCGAAAGCGGCUUCCUGGUCCAGCACCGACGUUCAGGCACGAAAGCGUGGGGAGCAAACAGG